UACGGGGGGAGCAAGCGUUGUUCGGAAUUACUGGGCGUAAAGCGCGCGUAGGCGGACCUGCAAGUCGGGGGUGAAAGCCCGAGGCUCAACCUCGGAACUGCCUUCGAUACUGCGGGUCUCGAGUCCGGGAGAGGUGAGUGGAAUUCCUAGUGUAGAGGUGAAAUUCGUAGAUAUUAGGAAGAACACCAGUGGCGAAGGCGGCUCACUGGCCCGGUACUGACGCUGAGGCGCGAAAGCGUGGGGA
rnacentral:rRNA from 1 species